GAAAAAGUUCAGUGCCACGACUAAAGUGGAUUAGAGAAGCAUUAGCCAGGAGAGUGAGUGGGCGUUUUUCACAUUGGCUUUUCUGCGGUUCUGCCUCUACUUUCCGUAAAGUAGCAUCGCCAUCGUCAGCACUUAUCGUCACCACCAUGAUCCUAAUCGGGGCAUAUUUGCAGACCCAACUCUGACCAAUCCCACCUAGUUCUAAAAAAUCCAGAAUAUAAGGGAGUGGAGCUGGUAGGAAUGGCGGUGGAACGGUGGUGGAAAAGCUCCAAAGCAUAGCAAUAAGUGCAGGCAGCUCCAACCUAAUUCUGUAAACCCAAACAACCGCCACCACAACAACAUGUUGGAUAACCGCUAUAACAACAAUAACUCCCAUCCUUACAUCCAGAUUGCGCCGCUUCCUGCCAAUGGAUCCGGGCCAUAUGGCAGACGGCCAAUGAGUAGGAUAUGCGAUAUGUUGAAUCGGUGUGGGAAAAGGGUUGAAGAUGUCACUAGGAAAGCAGAGGUCUACGCUGAUAACGUCUGGCACCAUGUCAAAGUUGGCGCCAGUUUCACAGAUGCAGCAAUGGCAAGGAUUGCUCAAGGGACAAAGGUGCUUACUGAAGGAGGGCAUGACAAAGUAUUCCAGCAGACAUUUGGGAGCUUGCCUGGAGAGAAGCUCAUCAAGGCCUAUGUUUGCUAUUUGUCAACAUUCUCAGGCCCUGUGAUUGGGACGCUUUAUAUAUCCAAUAAAAGAGUGGCCUUUUAUAGCGAUUAUCCCUUCUGCUAUUAUUCUCCCACUGGACAGCAGCAAUGGACGUAUUACAAGGUGGCGGUGCAGCUCGAUAAGUUGAGUACGGUAAAUCCUUCUGCAAGCAGAAUUAAUCCUUCUGGAAAGUACAUCCAAAUUGUAACAACAGACGAUCAUGAGUUCUGGUUUAUGGGGUUUAUAUCAUAUGACAAAGCACUCAAGCAAUUAACUGAGGCUUUACAGCGCCCUCGUGACUCUAUUGGGGAAGUCCCUGUCACUAUGAUGUAGGGCAUGAACUCUCUGUCGUUCCCUCUCUCUAAAUUGCUGUUGGCAUGGCAGAAGAAUGUUUAAGGAUGUACUCUGAUAUAAGAAAGCUCAAGGAUGUAUUGUGAUAUUCAUAAAUUACUAUAUAUAUUUGUUUUAUUCCAGAGGAAGUGAAUAUUUUUGAAGAUUUUGUAAAGAAAAACUUGUCAGUUGAGUGCUUUAGAAAAUGGAAGUUAUUAGAGGAUUUUAAAAGUCUCAA
rnacentral:misc_RNA from 1 species